rnacentral:rRNA from 1 species
AUACGUAGGGGGCUAGCGUUAUCCGGAAUUACUGGGCGUAAAGGGUGCGUAGGUGGUUUCUUAAGUCAGAAGUGAAAGGCUACGGCUCAACCGUAGUAAGCUUUUGAAACUAAGAGACUUGAGUGCAGGAGAGGAGAGUAGAAUUCCUAGUGUAGCGGUGAAAUGCGUAGAUAUUAGGAGGAAUACCAGUUGCGAAGGCGGCUCUCUGGACUGUAACUGACACUGAGGCACGAAAGCGUGGGGAGCAAACAGGAUUAGAUACCCUGGUAGUCCACGCCGUAAACGAUGAGUACUAGCUGUCGGGGGUUACCCCCCUCGGUGGCGCAGCUAACGCAUUAAGUACUCCGCCUGGGAAGUACGCUCGCAAGAGUGAAACUCAAAGGAAUUGGCGGGG